rnacentral:rRNA from 1 species
ACAACAGGUCAUGCUUAGUACGGCGAGUGAAGCGGCAAAAGCUCAAAUUUGAAAUCUGGCACCUUCGGUGUCCGAGUUGUAAUUUGAAGAAGGUAACUUUGGAGUUGGCUCUUGUCUAUGUUCCUUGGAACAGGACGUCACAGAGGGUGAGAAUCCCGUGCGAUGAGAUGCCCAAUUCUAUGUAAAGUGCUUUCGAAGAGUCGAGUUGUUUGGGAAUGCAGCUCUAAGUGGGUGGUAAAUUCCAUCUAAAGCUAAAUAUUGGCGAGAGACCGAUAGCGAACAAGUACAGUGAUGGAAAGAUGAAAAGAACUUUGAAAAGAGAGUGAAAAAGUACGUGAAAUUGUUGAAAGGGAAGGGCUUGAGAUCAGACUUGGUAUUUUGCGAUCCUUUCCUUCUUGGUUGGGUUCCUCGCAGCUUACUGGGCCAGCAUCGGUUUGGAUGGUAGGAUAAUGACUAAGGAAUGUGGCUCUACUUCGGUGGAGUGUUAUAGCCUUGGUUGAUACUGCCUGUCUAGACCGAGGACUGCGUCUUUUGACUAGGAUGUUGGCAUAAUGAUCUUAAGCCACCCGUCUAAAAAAAGGGAACAAAAAAAAAAAAUAAAAAUAAAAGGAAAAA